rnacentral:lncRNA from 1 species
AGAGAUCAAAGGUCUUUUUACUUUAGAAGUCAACAGCAGUCUCGGUUACUAGGGACAUUCCAGUGGUUGGUUGAAUUACAAUGUGUAUUGGUACCUCUCAGUCCCAGCAUACCCUCACCCUGUGUGUGUGUGUGUGUGUGUGUUUAUCUAUAUGUGUGUAUGUGUAUAUGAGUCUGUGUAUGUGUGUGUAUGUGUGUGUAUGUGUGUAUAUGCAUGUGUAUGUGUAAGUGUGUGUAUGUGUGUGUAUGUAUAUGCAUAUGUAUAUGCACAUGUAAAUGUAUGUAUGAAUGUGUAUGUAUAUAUGAGUGUGUGUGUUUAUGGAGGCCAGAGGACAACUUGAGGUACUAUUCUCUCAGGCAUCAUUUACUUCUUUUUUUUGUUUUGAUUUUUAACAGUGUCUUUUGUGGUAUACAGAUCAGCAUCCUAAUAGCACCUCUAUCUGGGAAGAGGCCCAAGGGAUCCAUCUGCCUCCGCCUCCUCGACUGCUAGGACUACAAGUGCAUACCACCACAACUGACUUUUUCAUGUGGGUUGAUCAAAUUUAGGUCCUCAUGCUUGCAAGGUAAGAACACCAAGUUCCAAGAAAAGUCUGUACUCAGGAAUCAUGUUGAUAUUCACUGAUGUGCCUACAAUUUGAAUCAAACUGGCAACAAGAUAGAGUGGCCAACUCAGCCAUGCCAAGCAGAGUGGGAACACAUCCAAUGGGCUCAGCGUCCUAACACAGCAGAAUAUGUGAGUAUCCCGUACAUAAUGUGCCAUGACUAGAGGAAACAUGUAGGAAGAGACAGACAAACAACUAAG